rnacentral:rRNA from 1 species
UCCGUAGGUGAACCUGCGGAAGGAUCAUUACAGAGUUCAUGCCCUUCGGGGUAGAUCUCCCACCCUUGUGUAUCAUUAUCGAAUGUUGCUUUGGCGGGCUGCGUGCCUCGCGCGCCCGGAUCUCGGUCCGGCCCGCCCGCCAGAGGACCCCUAAACUCUGAAUGUUAGUGUCGUCUGAGUACUAUUAAAUAGUUAAAACUUUCAACAACGGAUCUCUUGGUUCUGGCAUCGAUGAAGAACGCAGCGAAAUGCGAUAAGUAAUGUGAAUUGCAGAAUUCAGUGAAUCAUCGAAUCUUUGAACGCACAUUGCGCCCCUUGGUAUUCCGGGGGGCAUGCCUGUUCGAGCGUCAUUUAUACCAAUCUAGCCUGGCUAGGUGUUGGGCUUCGCCGUUGGCGGGCCUUAAAAUCAGUGGCGGUGCUCUUAGGCUCUACGCGUAGUAACUUUCUCGCUAUAGGGUCCUGGGAGAUACUUGCCAGCAACCCCAAUUUUUCUAGGUUGACCUCGGAUCAGGUAGGGAUACCCGCUGAACUUAAGCAUAUCAAUAAGCGGAGGA